GAAAAGAUGGAAAGAGCAGCAAAGUAUGAAGAAGAGAAAAGGAGAAGCUAUAUUUCAGGAAUGACAGACCGUUAAGGGGCAGCUGGCAGCAGUUUCUCUCACUUCUGGUCUGUGCAGUUGGGUUAUGAAUCAAAGAGUCAGCUGAAAGGAACCGCAAGAGAAAGAAGAUAAAUCACAUUUCCCUGCUAUAAUUUAUGGAGGUGAGCCGGUGUUAUAUGAGCAAAUUCUGUCCCAGCAAACACCGCUGGUGAAAAGCAGUGGAGGAAAACCUGAAAAGGAAGACGAAGUCAUACACGGCAUCUCUCCCUGCGAGCAGGAAAAGUGAGCUCAUUACAAACCUCAUUGUCCGUAACCACGACAGAGAAGAAAGGCUGGAGAAAAGCUGAUGUAAAAAUGCUGAAUGUGACACAUCAAACCCGUGUAACCAAAGGAGUGCGGCUUUAAGAAGACUGCUCAGUUUUGGGUUUUUUACCAGAGCUCGAGGAGGACACUAAAACAUUCAGUAAAGAACAAGAUGAACUGAUUGUUCUGUACUGGUGCCACUGGAAGCCACUGUUUGAAUUCAGCUUAUUAUAGAAGCUAAUCUAAGAAAUAUGUAGUGAAACACAUAAAAAUGGAUGCUGUAGGGGAAUUGUUCUUUUUUUUAUAUAAUAAACUAUUUAUUCAUCUGCUGCUCUGUACAUAAAAACAUAAUUUACAGGUAUUCCAACUGGUCUUUGAGGAUGAGGGGAACAGGUGAAAGCAAGCUGAGCGACUCCUGCUCAGAGACUGAUUUGAUAUGCAAAUAAUGUUGACCCGUGGUCCAGGUCUGACAGAGUGGCCAUCUGUUAGCAAGCCAGAGUGGCUGGUGGACGAGACCCCCAACAGUAAUCCCUCUGCCUUUAGCCCUCUAAAAAUAACCUGCUUUCCAUGUUUGUUGUUCUAUUAAUGCAGAAAUAAAGUGCAUUGAGCCAGUUUUCCAAAUAACAUGUUGUGGUUUGUUUUCUGUGCACGACGACUGUUGGUAGAAAAAUAGAUACAUAUUCAUAAAGCACAUUCAGUAAUAAUGUAUUGACUGUA